rnacentral:rRNA from 1 species
UCUGUAAGCCUGUGAAGGUGUGUCGUGAGGCAUGCUGGAGGUAUCAGAAGUGCGAAUGCUGACAUAAGUAACGAUAAAGCGGGUGAAAAGCCCGCUCGCCGGAAGACCAAGGGUUCCUGUCCAACGUUAAUCGGGGCAGGGUGAGUCGACCCCUAAGGCGAGGCCGAAAGGCGUAGUCGAUGGGAAACGGGUUAAUAUUCCCGUACUUGGUGUUACUGCGAAGGGGGGACGGAGAAGGCUAUGUUGGCCGGGCGACGGUUGUCCCGGUUUAAGCGUGUAGGUGUGUGUUCCAGGUAAAUCCGGUUCACUUUAACACUGAGGCGUGACGACGAGGCACUACGGUGCUGAAGCAACAAAUGCCCUGCUUCCAGGAAAAGCCUCUAAGCAUCAGGUAACAUCAAAUCGUACCCCAAACCGACACAGGUGGUCAGGUAGAGAAUACCAAGGCGCUUGAGAGAACUCGGGUGAAGGAACUAGGCAAAAUGGUGCCGUAACUUCGGGAGAAGGCACGCUGACACGUAGGUGAAGUGAUUUACUCAUGGAGCUGAAGUCAGUCGAAGAUACCAGCUGGCUGCAACUGUUUAUUAAAAACACAGCACUGUGCAAACACGAAAGUGGACGUAUACGGUGUGACGCCUGCCCGGUGCCGGAAGGUUAAUUGAUGGGGUCAGCGCAAGCGAAGCUCCUGAUCGAAGCCCCGGUAAACGGCGGCCGUAACUAUAACGGUCCUAAGGUAGCGAAAUUCCUUGUCGGGUAAGUUCCGACCUGCACGAAUGGCGUAAUGAUGGCCAGGCUGUCUCCACCCGAGACUCAGUGAAAUUGAACUCGCUGUGAAGAUGCAGUGUACCCGCGGCAAGACGGAAAGACCCCGUGAACCUUUACUAUAGCUUGACACUGAACAUUGAGCCUUGAUGUGUAGGAUAGGUGGGAGGCUUUGAAGUGUGGACGCCAGUCUGCAUGGAGCCGACCUUGAAAUACCACCCUUUAAUGUUUGAUGUUCUAACGUGGACCCGUGAUCCGGGUUGCGGACAGUGUCUGGUGGGUAGUUUGACUGGGGCGGUCUCCUCCUAAAGAGUAACGGAGGAGCACGAAGGUUGGCUAAUCCUGGUCGGACAUCAGGAGGUUAGUGCAAUGGCAUAAGCCAGCUUGACUGCGAGCGUGACGGCGCGAGCAGGUGCGAAAGCAGGUCAUAGUGAUCCGGUGGUUCUGAAUGGAAGGGCCAUCGCUCAACGGAUAAAAGGUACUCCGGGGAUAACAGGCUGAUACCGCCCAAGAGUUCAUAUCGACGGCGGUGUUUGGCACCUCGAUGUCGGCUCAUCACAUCCUGGGGCUGAAGUAGGUCCCAAGGGUAUGGCUGUUCGCCAUUUAAAGUGGUACGCGAGCUGGGUUUAGAACGUCGUGAGACAGUUCGGUCCCUAUCUGCCGUGGGCGCUGGAGAACUGAGGGGGGCUGCUCCUAGUACGAGAGGACCGGAGUGGACGCAUCACUGGUGUUCGGGUUGUCAUGCCAAUGGCACUGCCCGGUAGCUAAAUGCGGAAGAGAUAAGUGCUGAAAGCAUCUAAGCACGAAACUUGCCCCGAGAUGAGUUCU